AGAGAGAGAGCCGCGCGAGGAGAAGAAGGCGUCGUCGCCAGUGGAGCUCGCGUCGUUGUCGUCGUCGUCGAGGUCUUUCUGUCGCCGUUCUUCGCCACUGUCGAGCCGCCGUUAACACAGAUCUGACUAGAGGAGAAGAGGGAAAUGCGACCAGAACGGGAUGGAAGGGAAGGAAGCCACCUUCGUCACCGUCGAGCCAUCUCCGUCGCUGUUGCCGUCAGAAACCGCCACUGAAGCUUCUGUUUUCUUGUGAGUUUUUUCGUUGCGGGCUGAAGCCGCUGCCGUUGGAGCUUGCCGGAGUUAACCGCUGAAGCUGCGGCUGCGCUGUACUUUAGUUCCUUGCUAGUACAAGUAGCUAUGGUUGCUGUAAAUAUGGUUUGGAACUGCGGUU